rnacentral:rRNA from 1 species
UUAAAUUGAAGAGUUUGAUCAUGGCUCAGAUUGAACGCUGGCGGCAGGCCUAACACAUGCAAGUCGAACGGUAACAGGAAGCAGCUUGCUGCUUUGCUGACGAGUGGCGGACGGGUGAGUAAUGUCUGGGAAACUGCCUGAUGGAGGGGGAUAACUACUGGAAACGGUGGCUAAUACCGCAUAACGUCGCAAGACCAAAGAGGGGGACCUUCGGGCCUCUUGCCAUCAGAUGUGCCCAGAUGGGAUUAGCUGGUUGGUGAGGUAACGGCUCACCAAGGCGACGAUCCCUAGCUGGUCUGAGAGGAUGACCAGCCACACUGGAACUGAGACACGGUCCAGACUCCUACGGGAGGCA